rnacentral:rRNA from 1 species
AACGAACGCUGGCGGCAGGCCUAACACAUGCAAGUCGAGCGAGGACUUCGGUCCUAGCGGCGGACGGGUGAGUAACGCGUGGGAACGUGCCCUUUGCUUCGGAAUAGCCCUGGGAAACUGGGAGUAAUACCGGAUGAGCCCUUUGGGGGAAAGAUUUAUCGGCGAAGGAUCGGCCCGCGUUGGAUUAGGUAGUUGGUGGGGUAAUGGCCUACCAAGCCGACGAUCCAUAGCUGGUUUGAGAGGAUGAUCAGCCACACUGGGACUGAGACACGGCCCAGACUCCUACGGGAGGCAGCAGUGGGGAAUCUUAGACAAUGGGGGAAACCCUGAUCUAGCCAUGCCGCGUGAGCGAUGAAGGCCUUAGGGUUGUAAAGCUCUUUCAGCUGGGAAGAUAAUGACGGUACCGGCAGAAGAAGCCCCGGCUAACUCCGUG